AACGUACGCUGGCGGCACGCCUAACACAUGCAAGUCGAACGAAGUAGCAAUACUUAGUGGCAGACGGGUGAGUAACAUGUAGGUAUCUGCCCUUUGGCCUGGAAUAACACGAGGAAACUUGUGCUAAUACCGGAUAAGUCUUUACGGAGAAAGCUUUAUGCACCAUUGGAUGAGCCUGCACUUGAUUAGUUUGUUGGUGGGGUAAUGGCCUACCAAGACUGUGAUCAAUAGCUGAUUUGAGAGGAUGAUCAGCCACAUUGGGACUGAGACACGGCCCAAACUCCUACGGGAGGCAGCAGUGGGGAAUCUUGCACAAUGGAGGAAACUCUGAUGCAGCGAUGCCGCGUGAGUGAAGAAGGCCUUUGGGUUGUAAAGCUCUUUCGUCGGGGAAGAAAAUGACUGUACCCGAAUAAGAAGGUCCGGCUAACUUCGUGCCAGCAGCCGCGGUAAUACGAAGGGACCUAGCGUAGUUCGGAAUUACUGGGCUUAAAGAGUUCGUAGGUGGUUGAAAAAGUUAGUGGUGAAAUCCCAGAGCUUAACUCUGGAACUGCCAUUAAAACUUUUCAGCUAGAGUAUGAUAGAGGAAAGCAGAAUUUCUAGUGUAGAGGUGAAAUUCGUAGAUAUUAGAAAGAAUACCAAUUGCGAAGGCAGCUUUCUGGAUCAUUACUGACACUGAGGAACGAAAGCAUGGGUAGCGAAGAGGAUUAGAUACCCUCGUAGUCCAUGCCGUAAACGAUGUAUGUUAGACGUUGGAAAUUUAUUUUCAGUGUCGCAGGGAAACCGAUAAACACACCGCCUGGGGAGUACGACCGCAAGGUUAAAACUCAAAUGAAUUGACGGGGACCCGCACAAGUAGUGGAGCAUGUGGUUUAAUUCGAAGAUACGCGCAGAACCUUACCAACACUUGACAUGUUCGUCGCGACUCUAAGAGAUUAGAGUUUUCGGUUCGGCCGGACGAAACACAGGUGCUGCAUGGCUGUCGUCAGCUCGUGUCGUGAGAUGUUGGGUUAAGUCCCGCAACGAGCGCAGCCCUCACUUUUAGUUGCCAUCAUUAAGUUGGGCACUCUGAAAGAACUGCCAGUGAUAAGCUGGAGGAAGGUGGGGAUGACGUCAAGUCCUCAUGGCCCUUACGUGUUGGGCUACACACGUGCUACAAUGGUAUCUACAACAGGAAGCAAGACUGCGAAGUUAAGCAAAUCCCUAAAAGAUACCUCAGUUCGGAUUGCACUCUGCAACUCGAGUGCAUGAAGCUGGAAUUACUAGUAAUCGUGGAUCAGCGUGCCACGGUGAAUGCGUUCCCGGGUCU
rnacentral:rRNA from 1 species